rnacentral:tRNA from 1 species
GGAGAGAUGGCCGAGCGGUCGAAGGCGCAUGACUCGAAAUCAUGUGUACCCUAUGGGUACCCUGGGUUCGAAUCCCAGUCUCUCCGCCA